AGCAGCCGCGGUAAUUCCAGCUCCAAUAGCGUAUAUUAAAGUUGUUGCAGUUAAAAAGCUCGUAGUUGAAUUUCGGAAUUUGUCGGUUGGUCGGGCUUCACUGUCCGCACUGGCCUGAUGGAUUCCUACCUUCUGAACAACCAGCAUGCUAUUAAGUUAGUGCGUUGGGGAAGCAGAGCUAUUACCUUGAAAAAUUAGAGUGCUUAAAGCAGGCUUGUGCUUGAAUAGAUUAGCAUGGAAUAAUAAAUAGGACGGCAUGGUUCUAUUUUGUGGUUUCUAGGAUCACCGUAAUGAUUAAUAGGGAUAGUUGGGGGCAUUAGUAUUCAAUUGUCAGAGGUGAAAUUCUUGGAUUUAUUGAAGACUAACUUCUGCGAAAGCAUUUGCCAAGGUAUGUUUUCAUUAAUCAAGAACGAAGUUAGGGGAUCGAAGACGAUCGAGAUACCGUCGUAGUCUUAACCAUAAACUAUGCCGACUAGGGAUCGGACGAUGUUUAAUUUUAAUGUACUUCGUU
rnacentral:rRNA from 1 species